rnacentral:rRNA from 1 species
CAGAACUAACGCUGGCGGCGUGCCUAACACAUGCAAGUCGAACGAGAAAGCCGCAAGGUGAGUAAAGUGGCGGACGGGUGCGUAACACGUGGGUAAUCUACCUAUUGGCUUGGAUAACAGUCCGAAAGGAUUGCUAAUACCGGAUAAGACCACAGCUCUGCGGAGUGGUGGUAAAAGGCGCUCGCAAGGGUGCCACCGAUUGAUGAGCCCGCGGCCUAUCAGCUAGUUGGCGGGGGUACGGCCCACCAAGGCUACGACGGGUAACUGGUCUGAGAGGACGACCAGUCACACUGGAACUGAGACACGGUCCAGACUCCUACGGGAGGCAGCAGUGGGGAAUAUUGCGCAAUGACGAAAGUCUGACGCAGCAACGCCGCGUGGGUGAUGAAGGCCUUCGGGUUGUAAAGCCCUGUCGCCCGGGACGAACAAGUCGUCUAACUAACGACUCUGACGGUACCGGGAGAGGAAGCACCGGCUAACUCUGUGCCAGCAGCCGCGGUAA